GAUAUAUGAUAUUAAACAGUUAAUAAAGUCAAUAUACAUCCUGAAUUAUCAUCUAUCAAGAUGGCGAAAAUUGGAUUUAUAUUUAUUAUCUCUCUUGUAAUGGGCACAGUCUGCGGUUACAGAAGUAAUCAGAAUUUUUCUCAACCAGAAGUGAUAACAACUCCAAAUUUCCCAUUGCCCUAUCCGUCUGACGCGAGUUUAAGUUGGGCGUGGUCUAAGCCGACAGGAAGAUGGGCGGUUUUGUUUGAAGAAUUUGACAUACAUUGUAUGGAUACAUUAUACCUGAAAGACGACUCAGCUGGUAAACAACUACCUUUUGACUGUAAUCAAAAGCAAACAAAGACAACAGCUUAUUAUACUAAAGGACCGAGUCUUAUAAUACGAUUUACUUCAUCUCAUGAGUCUAAAGCCCAGAAAGGAUUCAAAAUAAGGGUCUUGUAUGGCAGAGAUAAAGAUGAUCUGAAAAGUCAAGUUUAUGAACUUAAAAACGGAAAUAAAGACGGCGACGGUGAUCACGUUUACACCCUCCUUUACGUGGUGUUGGCUCUGGUUGCCUUCGUUGGCAUAGUAGUAGAAGUAAUUAUCAUCAAGCGACAAAGGAGACGAGGUAAUCAAACGGUGACCGUGUCGACGUCGGAUUCAAUAGAAACAACU